rnacentral:rRNA from 1 species
UAAGACGAACCGUGCGAACGUUAUUCGGAAUCACUGGGCUUAAAGCGCGUGUAGGCGGGUCGGUGCAUCGGUUGCUGAAAGCCCCCGGCUCAACCGGGGCAGGGGCGCCGCGAUGACCGGCCUGGAGGGGCGUAGGGGGAUCGGGAACUUCCGGUGGAGCGGUGAAAUGCGUUGAGAUCGGAAGGAACGCCCGCGGCGAAAGCGCGGUCCUGGACGCCUACUGACGCUGAGACGCGAAAGCCAGGGGAGCGAACGGGAUUAGAUACCCCGGUAGUCCUGGCCGUAAACGAUGGGCACUGGGUAGGGGGCUCGCCGAUGGGUCCCCUGCCGGAGGGAAACCGUGAAGUGCCCCGCCUGGGGAGUAUGGUCGCAAGGCUG